rnacentral:rRNA from 1 species
AAUCAACGCUGGCGGCGCGCCUAACACAUGCAAGUCGAGCGAGAAAGGGAGCAAUCCUGAGUAAAGCGGCGUACGGGUGAGUAACACGUAGGUAUCCACCUCUUAGUGGGGAAUAACUCGGGGAAACCUGAGCUAAUACCGCAUAAGUCCGAGAGGAGAAAGCAGCAAUGCGCUGAGAGAGGAGCCUGCGGCCGAUUAGCUAGAUGGCGGGGUAAUGGCCCACCAUGGCGACGAUCGGUAGCCGGCCUGAGAGGGCACACGGCCACACUGGCACUGAAACACGGGCCAGACUCCUACGGGAGGCAGCAGUGGGGAAUCUUGCACAAUGGAGGAAACUCUGAUGCAGCGACGCCGCGUGGACGAUGAAGCCCUUCGGGGUGUAAAGUCCUUUCGACCGGAACGAUAAUGACGGUACCGGUGGAAGAAGCUGCGGCUAACUACGUGCCAGCAGCCGCGGUAAUACGUAGGCAGCAAGCGUUGUUCGGAAUUACUGGGCGUAAAGAGUUCGUAGGCGGUGCGGCAAGUUUGGUGUGAAAUCUCCCGGCUCAACUGGGAGGGUGCGCCGAAUACUGCCGUGCUAGAGUAUAGGAGAGGUAAGCGGAAUUCCUGGUGUAGCGGUGAAAUGCGUAGAUAUCAGGAGGAACACCUGUGGUGUAGACGGCUUACUGGACUAUAACUGACGCUGAGGAACGAAAGCGUGGGUAGCAAACAGGAUUAGAUACCCUGGUAGUCCACGCCCUAAACGAUGCAUACUUGGUGUGAGCCAUUCACUUGGUUCGUGCCGUAGCUAACGCGUUAAGUAUGCCGCCUGGGGAGUACGGUCGCAAGGCUG